CAAAAUGGGAGGUAAAUUUCUCCUAAGGCUAAAUACAGGCGAGAGACCGAUAGCGAACAAGUACCGUGAGGGAAAGAUGAAAAGAACUUUGAAAAGAGAGUCAAACAGUACGUGAAAUUGUUGAAAGGGAAACGAUUGAAGCCAGUCGUACCGUCGGGAAUUCAACUUUUUAAGUGCUUGUCGUGGGUGAUGUAGAGCCUUACGGCCUUCGUUGCUUUGCGUUAUGGUGCUUUUAGGGUGUACUUUUCCGUAUGGUAGGUCAAUAUCGAUUUUGAUCGUCAUAAAAUGAUCGGAGGAAUGUGGCUUCGAUCUCGUAUCGGAGUGUUAUAGCCUUUGGUAGAUGUGACGAUUUGGAUCGAGGAUUGCAACGAAUACCCUUUGGGCUAUCCGUCUGACCUCUGAAAGUCGCUCGGGUGUCGAAAGCGUGCUUAUGACAUUCUAGUUGGCGGUUAAAAGGUUAGAACGCGAUUACA
rnacentral:rRNA from 1 species